UGACCUAACUGUAUUACAGUUAUACGAAGGCCAUACGGACAGCCGGGUCAAAUGCCGA
rnacentral:sRNA from 12 species